AUGUAUAAUUUGAGCAUAUGCAUAUUCUUAUAAGUGUUCUCAUGUAUAAGUAUAAAAGUUGUGUAUGUGAUGUCUAUAUGUAUGCUCAAUAUUAUUAACCUUGUGGCAUUUGAGUUGUCUUUUAUGGGUGUUUGAUGUGCUCAAGAUAUAAGAAAGUAUGAAAAAUAUGGACAAGGCAUGGAAUUAAGUGUUGAAAGUGAGAUAUAGAAGGCAAAAUAGGUUAAGUAGUGGAAAAUAGUACAAUGUCGAUUACUAGUAUUUCGGUGUAAAAUUGAGUAUUUAUGGAUUUACCAAAUGUAAUCGAGGUAUGAUUAAGGUCUCAUUGAUGAUGUAAAAAUGGUUUUAGAACCAUUAGAUCAAUUCUUGAUGGGAGGUAUACAUAAUCAGUGGUAUUGAUGCAAAGUCAAAACGAGCUUAGCAUAAGUGCGCUACGCUCGAUCGGGUAAGCAUAACUAUUGGGUAUGAAGUCAUAUGGACCUAAGGUUUGGUAUGAGUGUUUUACACAUAAGGAUAAUAGGCCUAGCAGAUGAUUAAGUCGAAAUUAUUGAAGUGAUAAGGUUUUCAUAAGUCAAAAGGUGAAAUGAUGAGAUGAAAGGUGUCAACUUUUGACAAUAAGGCUAAAUCAUUGAAAAUAAGGAAUUUUCAUCAAACCUUAUCACUUUGCACGACCAUUAUUCUGAAAAACAGAGAGAAAAUAAAACCAAAAACCAUUUCUUGGCUGGUUUGAAGAAAUUCUAAGGAGAUCCAAGUGAAAGCAAAGCCAAAGAAGUAGAUUAAGCUUAGUUCUAGCCUUUUUAUGAUAUUUCUUGGGGUUUCCAAGUGGUUUGAGGUUUAGAAAAGCUUGAAGAGAUUGUUUUCGCCGAAAAGUUGCUCGGAUAAGCACAUCAAUACCUAAGACAUCACUUGUUACACGGUGAAAUAUAUUGUGGACAAAAGGUAAGUAAAGUACUCAACUGCAACACAAGAAUUAUGUGUUAUGUGAAAGUAUGCAUUAUAUGAAUAUUUUGUGAGUAAGUGGUAUUAACAUACAGUGACACUUCAUCAUAAAUUUGUAUGCAUGGCAUAAUAGUGAUAUGGUAAAUUAUUAUAUGAUAUAAGACCAUGCAUGAUAUUAUGAUGAUUAAUUAUAUGAUGCCUUUGC